rnacentral:rRNA from 1 species
UACGUAGGGUGCAAGCGUUGUCCGGAAUUAUUGGGCGUAAAGAGCUCGUAGGCGGUCUGUCGCGUCGGAUGUGAAAAUCCAGGGCUCAACCCUGGACCUGCAUUCGAUACGGGCAGACUAGAGUUCGGCAGGGGAGACUGGAAUUCCUGGUGUAGCGGUGAAAUGCGCAGAUAUCAGGAGGAACACCGGUGGCGAAGGCGGGUCUCUGGGCAGUAACUGACGCUGAGGAGCGAAAGCGUGGGGAGCGAACAGG